rnacentral:rRNA from 1 species
UGUGUAGGCGGUGUCUCUAAGUCUGUUGUGAAACUCUCCCGGCUUAACUGGGAGGGUGCGGCGGAAACUGGAGUGCUAGAGGGUGGGAGAGGUAAGCGGAAUUCCUGGUGUAGCGGUGAAAUGCGUAGAUAUCAGGAGGAACACCUGUGGUGUAGGCAGCUUACUGGACCACUUCUGACGCUGAGACACGAAAGCGUGGGUAGCAAACAGGAUUAGAUACCCUGGUAGUCCACGCCCUAAACGAUGCACACUUGGUGUGAGCGAUUCAUUUCGUUCGUGCCGGAGCUAACGCGUUAAGUAUGCCGCCUGGGGAGUACGGUCGCAAGGACUGAA